CACUUGCACUCAACGCCACCAUGACGCCCCAAGAGUGAACACAAGAACUGACCACCGAAUUACAAUAUAUAAGCUCUGUGAAAGGUGCCUCACCAUAACCACUUUCUUCUCCGCCUCGAGAGAGAAGCCACCAGCAAUGAAACUCCAUACCACAGGUAUCCUGGUCAUAGUCUGGCUUGGCAUCUUCACUCUGCACACAACAGAAGGGAGCGUUGCAAGUCAGUCAAUGCGCAAAUUGUCUUGCGUAAAUCUAUCUGCGCAGAAAGUGGACAUCAGAAGUAUUGUCAGCUAUGAAAAGCAGAAAGUUCCAGUAGAAGCUAUCAUGUUUAUCACCUCAAAUGGUAUCAAGAUCUGUGUACAUCCCGAUCAGAAAUGGGUGCAGAAUGCUAUGAAGAGAAUAGACAAAAGACGUACUAGCAAGAGAAGAUAAUCCUGUCCUUGGCAAGCAUCUGAGGCCAAAAAAAUGAAAUAGUCACCACUGCCACACACAACAGGGAAGAAAGCCUUGGUAUCUGCUUGUAAUUCCUAUUGGCAAUAAAUUCUCUGAACAAACAUGAACUCAUCGGAAUCAAUUAAUCACUGCUUGAAGAGACACACAAAAAGGCAAGUACAAAAUGAAGAACUAGAGUGCUGCUGCUGUGUUGGAGGCGAGUCCUAGUCUCUAACAUUCUUAGGAAACAUCUCACUAGGAAAAACUGAAGGCUUCAAGGUACUUUUGAAGAUCUGGGGCUGUGGUUGUGCUGAUGUCCUCCUUGCACCUGGCUGCCCACUCAUUUCUUCUCCAAGUGAGGUAGGGAACAUGGUAACUGCUUCUCUUUCUGCUCAUCCUCUGCUAGACUUAGUCCAGUAAUAUGAACACUGAUUUUCUUUGACUCCUUUUGUAAGAACUGUGGUUCCCUUUGCCAGAGAGGACUCUCCAAAUACACAUGGUAGAGCACUGAACAACAGUAUUUGAAACAACUCAAUCAUUUCUCUUCUGCCACCCCGAAGUGAUGGAAGAGAUAUGCUGUAUACAGACCUUUAGCAGGGAAAAAAACAGCAGAUAACACAGUGGACAAACCCUCAAGUACUCUAGACAUUUAUAACUUCACCAUCUUCAGAGGGAGUAAGGACACACUAUCUCCCUGUGCAUGGGAGUUUUUGCAUAAAAUAUACUUCCUGGGCAACAAAUUUACGUAACUGCAGUGGUACUGUUUUCACUGUUUGCUUCUAAUUAUGGAACUGGAAAGUUAAAUUUACAAGUACAAUCAACUCUCACCGAAACCAUCAUUAUAACACUCAAACUCUCAGUGAUGAACUGAUUCCUUGAUCGUUUUUUGCAUGCCUUCAGACUCCAUUAUUUAUUUUUUCACCAGGUAAUCAUAUUUUAACGGAUUGUUCAAGACUCUAUGUGAGAAAAAGAGGACUAAGUACCUCUGUACAAAUAUUAAUGCAUCAAUGAGGCUACUCUGCCAAAUAUUAUUCCAUGACAUGAAAUUCAUAGUAAUUCAGGAGAUACAAAUACUUUCCUUGUCUCCUCCCUUGUGGAGCAAUGCAUCACAUGGAUUUUUGGAAAGUUAAACCUCGUAUUUAAAUUGCAAAUGAAUUAGUUACUUAACCCAAGUUACUGGGGUUUUCUGCAAAAGACACUAAUUCAAAUUUCAUGGUAAGCCAGUAUAGUAGAAAGCAAGGGGAAAAGUAGGGAAAUAACAAAUAGAAAAGCAGUGGCAGCGAGUUGUUACAGAGAAAGAAGUAUGAA